GUCCCUGUGGCACAAUGCAUAGCAUGUUGGACUUCUAAUCCAAAUGCCGUGAGGAUUCGAAUCCCACCUGGGAUA